rnacentral:rRNA from 1 species
GAAUUCACUAGUGAUUUCUGGUUGAUCCUGCCAGACCCGACUGCUAUCAGAGUGGGACUAAGCCAUGCGAGUCGACGUAGCAAUACGUGGCGAACGGCUAAGUAACACGUAGUCAACAUGCCCAGGGGACGUGGAUAAUCUCGGGAAACUGAGAAUAAACCACGAUAGGUCACGAUUUCUGGAAUGGAUCUUGGCUUAAAUCUACAUGGCCCCUGGAUUGGACUGCGGCCGAUCAGGCUGUUGGUGAGGUAUUGGCCCACCAAACCUAUAACCGGUACGGGCUCUGAGAGGAGGAGCCCGGAGAUGGGCACUGAGACAAGGGCCCAGGCCCUAUGGGGCGCAGCAGGCGCGAAACCUCUGCAAUAGGCGAAAGCCUGACAGGGUUACUCUGAGUGAUUUCCGCUAAGGGGAUCUUUUGGCACCUCUAAAAAUGGUGCAGAAUAAGGGGUGGGCAAGUCUGGUGUCAGCCGCCGCGGUAAUACCAGCACCCCGAGUGGUCGGGACGAUUAUUGGGCCUAAAGCAUCCGUAGCCGGUUCUGCAAGUCUUCCGUUAAAUCCAGCCGCUCAACGGAUGGGCCGCGGAGGAUACUAUAGGACUAGGAGGCGGGAGAGGCAAGCGGUACUCAGUGGGUAGGGGUAAAAUCCUUUGAUCCAUUGAAGACCACCAGUGGCGAAGGCGGCUUGCCAGAACGCGCUCGACGGUGAGGGAUGAAAGCUGGGGGAGCAAACCGGAUUAGAUACCCGGGUAGUCCCAGCUGUAAACGAUGCAGACUCGGUGAUGGGCUAGCCUUGUGCCAGCCCAGUGCCGCAGGGAAGCCGUUAAGUCUGCCACCUGGGGAGUACGGUCGCAAGACUGAAACUUAAAGGAAUUGGCGGGGGAGCACCACAAGGGGUGAAGCCUGCGGUUCAAUUGGAUUCAACGCCGGAAAUCGAAUUCCCGCGGCC